GCUGGGCGAUAUGGUUCACGCCUGUAAUCCCAGCAGCUUGGGAGGCUGAGACAGGAGGAUCACGAGUUCAAAGCCAGCCUCAGCAAUGGUGAGGCGCUAAGCAACUCAGUAAGACCCUGUCUCUA
rnacentral:sRNA from 1 species